rnacentral:tRNA from 1 species
GGCUUGGUGUAACUCAGAUGGUAGAGUGCUCGCUUUGCAUGCGAGAAGUACUGGGAUCGAUACCCAGCCGGUCCA